UUUACACUAUACAUGUAUCUUCUAGAUGUUUCAUUAAUCAAAUAGAAAAAUGUUGUCGUUUAAGGCUUGAACAACUUUCACUUUUUGUUGAAAUGUUGUCGUUUGGGUCUUGGGUGAGACACUGUUGUUUUGCUGCCUGAUUAAAACAUCUUCAUCCCCUUCGCAAGAUGAAGACGAAUCUGAAGAGAUCUUCAUCUUGGAUAAAAGACGAUAUACGAUAGAAGCUCCUAGAGAUUUUGUGAAAAGGUCGAUCUUUUGAGGAUACAUGCUUAGUGACUAUGAACUCCUUAUUUGGUUGAUUUCGCAGGACAUGGCGAUCUAUUUCCAUAUGUUUUGUCCUUUUGUGAAACACUGGAUUCGCAGUGAUAUGUUAGGCUGCCUUGUUAUUGCAAUGUAGAGGAAUGGGAAGUUGAGCUUCGAUUUGGAAUUCUUGAAGAAAUCAAGGAAGGCCCAAGGAAAACACAUAAACUAGUUAAGGAUUUCCUGGUGGUUGGGCAUGUUGCCCAGUCGGCAUCACAAAAAGUCGAGAUCUUGAAGUCAUUGAUGGUUGACCUUUCUAGGAGCCUGCCUUGAGAUAUUAGACGACAUGCAAGGUGGCAUCGAAUUGUGUCCUGCAAAGGAGUUGCAUGUACUGACUCGGCUGUUGUGUGGAGUAUAUUAUGUUAGGCCAUGUGAGACUAAGGUAUAGCAGUCGUCCAAUCAAUAUUAUGUAUUGUUAUAGAUCUAGCAGUAUUUCUCCUGUAUCUUUGUCAAUCUUUAACCCUUUUGGAAAGGGAAAAGAAUUUGUCUUUGUAUCCUGUAAUCCGGUAUCCCUUAUGAUAUCACUAACAUAUUUCCAUUGAUACAGAAACAUGCCUUCAGUUGGUCUAGUUGUUUCAAGGCCAAGGAAGUAUCUCACAUGUCCUAGAUUUUUUUAUUGUGAAAGCAUCAUGCAUAUAAGUUUUUACUGCAAUUAUUUGGUUUUCAUCCGCCCCUGUGAUUAGGAGAUCAUAUAUGCAGGAGGUCAUAUAUGUAGAUAAUUAGGGCUAGAAAAGAAUUGUUAGAGCCUUUAGUGAAUAGAUAACAAUCAAAUUUUGAUUGCUUGAAACCGUAUUUGCAGAGCUUUAUAGUCUCCCUAUUCCAUUGUCUACCAGCUUUUUUAAGCCUAUAAAUGCUUUUAAUUAGCUUACAUUCCUAUCCCUUAGGAACUUGGUACCCUUUUGGUGCUUUCAUGUAUAGGUCUUCAUUAAUAUGCCUAUGAAGAUAGGCAUUAUUGAUAUCUAACUGAUAUAUUGUCCAAUUCUAAGCUAUUGUUAUUGCCAUAAAUGUUCUCACUGUUACCAUUUUGGUGACAGGAGAAAAAUUGUCAUGACAGUUGAUGUCGGGUAAUUGGUUGCAACCAACGUUGCUUUGUAUUUACUAACCAUCCCAUCUGCAUUAUAUUUUAUUAUGAAAAUCUAUUUGGAGGUAAUUGCCUUCUUUCCUGUGGGCAACAGUUAAGAUCCAUCUGUCAUCCAUUUCUAAUGCUUCUAUCUCAUAUUGCAUAGCUCUAAUCCAAUUACUGUCCUUUAUAGCAUCCCUAUAAUUUUUAGGCUCUGACACAGUAGAUAAUACAACCACAAAACUUUUGUAAUUAUGAUUGAAUGUAGGUGAGUGAGUGAAGAAAGUAGUGGAAGGUAAACAAGUAUGUUGUGCAUAUGCAAGACCUGAAAAAAAAUUUUUGUCUGAUAUUUGUGCAACAUAAUCUUCUAACUAUUGUGACUUUGAUAUCUGUCUUGUUUGUGGUGGUGAUGGGAUUUCUGAGAUUUGAAUAGAAACUGUGGGUUGUAGUGUAGGCAUGUCAAUUUGUGGUUGUGUGGGACUGAUUUCUAAUAUAUGAUAAAAUGUACUUUGCUCUGGAGAAACAUCAGGAAUCAAGUUGGGUAAGGGCACAACAGUUUGAUUAUGUUUUUCUUGGAAAUAAGAGAAGAUAUUUUCAUAAAAGAUAACAUCUCUUAAUAAUUUUUUUUAUUUUCUAAAUCAUAUAACUUAUAUGCUUUAAAACCUAGGACAAAACCAAUAAAAAUGCAUUUAAAAACUCUUUUGCAAACUUGUUUUUUUGUAGUUGUAUGUUUGUGGCAAAACAAAGACAUCCUAAAACUUUUAUUUGAAAGUAAUUUGGCUUUUUAUUAAACAAAACUUUAUGAAGUGUCUUCUAAUUUAAGACUGAACUAUGUAACAUAUUUAUGAUAUGUGUGGCUAGUAAAAAAUGAUUCUCCCCAAAACAUUUUUAGCAAGUUAGAUUGAAACAUGAGAGAUCUUGCUACUUGAAGAAGAUGCUUAUAUUUUCUUUCCACUAUACCGUUUUACUGCAGGUACAUGGACAAGUCUUUUAGUGAAUGUUUCCAUUUUCUUUAAAAAACAUGAUGCAUGAUUUGUUUACAAACUUUAUUCCAUUGUCAAACCUUUUUUUAUAUACAGUUUUCUGAAAUUGAGUUUUUACCAUGGAAGAAAAAUCUUUUAAAAAACUAUGAAUAGUUAAUAUAUCUUUUAACAAAUAAGUCCAUGUACCUCUAGAGAAAUCAUUAACAAUGGUUAAAACAUAUGAUGCUCAGUGAUAAAUUUUGUAGAGCGUGGUCUCCAUAAGUCUACAUAUAUUAAUUCAAAAAUUUCAGUAGUAGUAGAGAUGCUACUUUUAGGAAAACAUAUCCUUUGCUGUUUAGCUAUGGGGCAAAUUUCACAAACAUGAGAUUCUGUUGGAUUAAUAUUCAAUUCAGGAAUAUGUAAUACUGUAUUUUUAAAAAUGUAGCCUAAUCUACUGUGCCAUAGAGAAUAAAGAUCAGAUAUAGCAAUAUGAGAAGUACAGUCAUUCAUGACAAAUUUAGUAUCUAAUAUAUAAAGGCCUUCUUGUACUUUUGCUUAUGCCAUAACUUCAUUGUUUAUUAGGUUCUGUAAAAUGUACUUCUUAGAUAGGAAUUUUGCUGUUAAAUUUGAUGUUUGGGUCAAUUUACUGAUAGAGAUAUGUGAAGAAUAUUAUGCAGAAUUAGGGUAAGCUGUAAUUUUAUUGUACUAAAAUGCAUAACAGUUUUGGUACUGCGAUCAGGUAAAGUAAUAAACAUGUUAGUUUUAGGGUUAGUAAAAUGGAAAAAAGAAUUCAAGUCAUAACACAUGUGAGAUGUGACUCUAGUGUCUACUAUCCAUAGGCCUAGUUUUUAUUUGGAAGCAAGAAAGUAGUAAUUUGAAUUAGUCUGAGAUGCCCACACACUCGGUUGUUUCAUUUCUGUACUAAUUUUGAUUCUUCAUAUACUUGAUGAUCUCUUGUUGUAUCAUAUUACUUAUUCCCAUGCUCCAUGUUCCUAGCAUUGAUUAUUCCUUUCCCAGUUCUAAUGGUGUUUCUUUCAUAGCUACAUUGUCCUUUUCUUUACUCUUCUUGAGUUUGUAUUCAUGAAACUAGUCUGGAUAUGCAUGGAUUUUGAAGCAUGAUUCCCUUGUGUGUCUUGGAUUGCAACAAUGAUGACAGAUUUUGCCUCCCUUUUCUUUUUUUUUAGGAACUCCCUUCUUUUGUUCUGUGAGAUUUCUUUGGAGCCUUUCAUGUUUAAAACACCAGUAUUAAAAUCAUUAGUAAUGUUGCAUACAUUUUUCUCUUUUUUUUUCCCACUUAGCACUAUUACAUGUGCUCUAUUGACAUCAGGAAGUGGUUCCAUGAUGAGUAUUUGAUCUUUGACAUAAACAUAAACAUCAUUUAAUUCCACCAGAAAUUGAAUCACCUUAUCACUAUUGUCUAUUUCACUUAGAUCAUUAGAGGAUUCAUAACUGCAUGUAGGCAUGGGACUUAAGCAAUUUAACUUAUCCCAUAGCCUUUUUAAAUUAGUGAAAUAAGCCAUUAAUGAUAUAUCACCUUGACUAAAAGAAAUGAUCUCCUUUUUUAUUUGAUAAAGCAAUGGUCCAUUGCUUUGCCCAUAUCUAUUUUUAAGUUCUUUUCAUAAUUUUUUUGCAGUAAGAGAGUAAAUAAAAACCUCAACAAGUUCUUUUGAUAGCAAAUUUAGUAACCAAGAUUUAUUUUCUUCCAUCUUUUGUACUCACUGGAUUCUGGAUCUGGAAUCUUAAUCCUUCCAUCAACGAAACCCAAUUUGUCCUUUGCAUAGAGUGUUAUCAUCAUUGCUCUGCUCCAUGGCAGAUAAUUAGUUUCAUCCAUUGGAAUGCUAAGCAGCUACAUCCCUUGUUGAUCGAAUUUAGCAAAUUCAUUGCAUCAUCGACAGUUUUCCCAUGGAUUCUAGGUCUCUUCUUUGAGGUGUUGUUUGCUAAGUGAUCUCAGCCAUUUGUAAUAUUGAUAAAGGACUAAUUAGACUCCGUCAUAAGUUUUAACCAAUAUCGUUUGGUUAAGACGAAAUAAGAGAAAAGAUAGACUGAAAGACAAAAAGUCUUAUUGAAAUUCUUCAAAGAUUGCAAAAGUGAGUUUCUAAUAGUCAAGGGAGGCUAUUUAUAAUAGAAACAAAACUCCAAUAUGCAAAAUUAUGAAAACAUCCAAAAUAUCCAAAAAAAAUAAUUAAAAUGCAAAAUUGACCCCCUAAAUGAUGGAAUUUCCAUAUCAAACUUUGUGACAAGCCUAUGGCCCUUGUUACAUUUUUGAAAGUCACGCGUCUCGAAAUUCCCUUUUUGAAAAGCUAUCGUGGGUCUCUAUCGGACGUCGGUAGCAAAAAUUAGGCCCGGUCCAAGUCUGCUGUAAGGUCCAAGGCUAAUUGCUCCAUAUCAUUCCCUUCCACUUGUAAAGAACUCAACCUCGAGUUGUCAUCAGCAGGGUAGUACUGAAAUAGAUUCGCCGCGUUAAAGUCUUGGAAAUUUUCAUCUCAUGUGGAA